AUACAUGCAAGUCGAACGAGCUGCGCCUAAUGAUAGUUGAUGCUUGCAUUAACUUGACUUAAGUUAGCAGCGAGUGGCGAACUGGUGAGUAACACGUGGAUAACCUGCCCAGAAGAAGGGGAUAACACCUGGAAACAGAUGCUAAUACCGUAUAACAACGAAAACCACAUGGUUUUCGUUUGAAAGAUGGCCUUUGUGCUAUCGCUUUUGGAUGGAUCCGCGGCGCAUUAGCUAGUUGGUGAGAUAAAGGCUCACCAAGGCAAUGAUGCGUAGCCGACCUGAGAGGGUAAUCGGCCACAUUGGGACUGAGACACGGCCCAGACUCCUACGGGAGGCAGCAGUAGGGAAUCUUCCACAAUGGACGAAAGUCUGAUGGAGCAAUGCCGCGUGAGUGAAGAAGGGUUUCGGCUCGUAAAACUCUGUUGUUAGAGAAGAACGGGCGUGAGAGUAACUGCUCACGUCGCGACGGUAUCUAACCAGAAAGUCACGGCUAACUACGUGCCAGCAGCCGCGGUAAUACGUAGGUGGCAAGCGUUGUCCGGAUUUAUUGGGCGUAAAGCGAGCGCAGGCGGUCUUCUAAGUCUGAUGUGAAAGCCUUCGGCUUAACCGGAGAAGUGCAUCGGAAACUGGGAAACUUGAGUGCAGAAGAGGACAGUGGAACUCCAUGUGUAGCGGUGAAAUGCGUAGAUAUAUGGAGGAACACCAGUGGCGAAGGCGGCUGUCUAGUCUGUAACUGACGCUGAGGCUCGAAAG
rnacentral:rRNA from 1 species